rnacentral:lncRNA from 1 species
GCGGAUUCGGGCCUAAGGGUUUGCGACCCCGCGCGAUCUGCAUUCUUCACAGCCCUGACUGAGGCGGAUUCGGGCCCAGGAAGCGGCUCUGGGUCUGGCUGUGGGCCUGGUAGUGGUUUAGGGUCUGGGCCAGGCAGCGGUUCUGGGUUCGGGUCAGGCUGUGGGCCUGGCAGUGGUUGUGGGUUUGGGUCAGGCUGUGGGCCAGGAAGCGGCUUUGGGUCCUCUGGGCCUGGAAGUGGUUUCGGGCCCUCUGGACCAGGAAGAGGCUUUGGGUCCUCUGGGCCAGGAAGUGGCUUUGGGUUCCCUGGGCCAGGUAGCGGCUUUGGGCCAGCUGGCAGUGGCUCCGGUUUUGGGUAUGGAUC